UGCGACCGGCGCACGGGUGAGUAACGCGUAUGCAACCUGCCCGAUACCGGGGUAUAGCCCAUGGAAACGUGGAUUAACACCCCAUAGUACUUUUAUCCUGCCUGGGAUGUGAGUUAAAUGUUCAAGGUAUCGGAUGGGCAUGCGUCCUAUUAGUUAGUUGGCGGGGUAACAGCCCACCAAGACGAUGAUAGGUAGGGGUUCUGAGAGGAAGGUCCCCCACAUUGGAACUGAGACACGGUCCAA
rnacentral:rRNA from 1 species